CCCCUAACCUGGCAUUUUCUAUUUUAAUUUUAUCAGUGUGCUGGCCUUAAAAUAUUUUGUCCAAACCUAUAUGGAAACAAAUGAUUAAAUUAAAUAUUUGAUGAAAUUAAUUAAAUAUUAAACUUACUAAACUCUUCCUCUUGCCAUCUCUUUCUUUUCCUUUUCUUUUCUUUUUUUUUUCCUGGCCCAGGAUAAAUAUUUCCAAGUUUAAGAUAUCAUCCUCUCAGUAACGGAACUUCAAGCAAAACCCGCUCUGGAAGAUAUACAUGAUAAAAGCACCCUGUCAACCACGGACACAUCCCACAGCCAUUUCCCCCUUGUGACAGCUCAUAAAAUGCUGCAUAAUAGUUCCUGUGUGAGUAUGAGAAAAUACUGAAACAACGUCAAGAGAAUCAAGCAAAAGGCAACUGGUCCCCUGGAUCCGUCUUCAUUGGGUCCCACUGGACAACUUUUUUUGCCGGAUGAACGGUAGAGGCUGGUAAUACCACAAACAACAUUCCAGGAUAGCAAAAAUUUAAGAUGUUACCUGAAGGAAUUUCCGGAGCCCUACUCUAAACCCAAUCCUGAAGAUGUCACAGAAGGGAGAAAGAAAAUGGUGGAUCUAAGAAAAUAUUGGAAAAACUGAAAAGUCCCUGGAGAGACAGAAGUUGGCUCCGUUCUGAGUCCUAGCUGAAGCAACGACCAACUAGAAAAUGCAUUAGAAAUCCAGGCAUCAUCCAGAAGAGCAUUAAAAAACCUAAGGAAGACAUUGGAGAAUUCGUAUGCUAUUUUAGCUGGCUCUGUGAUUGCAAUCACACAAAUCACUCCAUUCCAGAGAGAUUUCACGAACAGGAGGUUUUUCCAUUUCAGCCUUUCAAGUGUUGCAGAGCAAGAUAAUGACUCUCCCAUAAGCUUAUGAAUUGCUAUAGAACUGGAACC
rnacentral:lncRNA from 1 species